rnacentral:rRNA from 1 species
AUGAACGCUGGCGGCGUGCCUCAUACAUGCAAGUCGAGCGAACGGACGAGAAGCUUGCUUCUCUGAUGUUAGCGGCGGACGGGUGAGUAACACGUGGAUAACCUACCUAUAAGACUGGGAUAACUUCGGGAAACCGGAGCUAAUACCGGAUAAUAUUUUGAACCGCAUGGUUCAAAAGUGAAAGACGGUCUUGCUGUCACUUAUAGAUGGAUCCGCGCUGCAUUAGCUAGUUGGUAAGGUAACGGCUUACCAAGGCAACGAUGCAUAGCCGACCUGAGAGGGUGAUCGGCCACACUGGAACUGAGACACGGGCCAGACUCCUACGGGAGGCAGCAGUAGGGAAUCUUCCGCAAUGGGCGAAAGCCUGACGGAGCAACGCCGCGUGAGUGAUGAAGGUCUUCGGAUCGUAAAACUCUGUUAUUAGGGAAGAACAUAUGUGUAAGUAACUGUGCACAUCUUGACGGUACCUAAUCAGAAAGCCACGGCUAACUACGUG